rnacentral:rRNA from 1 species
UACGUAGGUGGCGAGCGUUAUCCGGAUUUACUGGGUGUAAAGGGUGUGUAGGCGGGACUGCAAGUCAGAUGUGAAAAUUACGGGCUUAACUCGUAACUUGCAUUUGAAACUGUAGUUCUUGAGUGUCGGAGAGGUAAAUGGAAUUCCCAGUGUAGCGGUGAAAUGCGUAGAUAUUGGGAGGAACACCAGUGGCGAAGGCGGUUUACUGGACGACAACUGACGCUGAGACACGAAAGCGUGGGGAGCAAAC